CCUAGGGGAGGCAGCAGUGGGGAAUUUUGGACAAUGGGGGCAACUCUGAUCCAGCCAUGCCGCGUGAGUGAAGAAGGCCUUCGGGUUGUAAAGCUCUUUCGGCCGGGAAGAAAUCGCACAGGCUAAUACUCUGUGUGGAUGACGGUACCGGCAUAAGAAGCACCGGCUAACUACGUGCCAGCAGCCGCGGUAAU
rnacentral:rRNA from 1 species